UACAGAGGUCUCAAGCGUUGUUCGGAUUCAUUGGGCGUAAAGGGUGCGUAGGCGGCGCGGUAAGUCGGGUGUGAAAUCUCGGAGCUUAACUCCGAAACUGCACUUGAUACUGCCUUGCUCGAGUACUGGAGAGGAGAUUGGAAUUUACGGUGUAGCAGUGAAAUGCGUAGAUAUCGUAAGGAAGACCAGUGGCGAAGGCGAAUCUCUGGACAGUUACUGACACUG
rnacentral:rRNA from 1 species